rnacentral:rRNA from 1 species
AUUGAACGCUGGCGGCAGGCUUAACACAUGCAAGUCGAACGAGAGGCGGACGGGUGAGUGAUGCUUGGGAAUCUAGCUUAUGGCGGGGGAUAACUACGGUGAACUGUAGAUAAUACCGAGUACCAUAGGAAGAGCCCAAGUGGGAUAAGUUAGUUGGUGAGGUAAAGGCUCACCAAGGAGACGAUCUCUAGCUGGGCUGAGAGGAUGACCAGCCACACUGGAACUGAGACACGGCCCAGUCUACGACGUGAGGUAGCAGAUGGGAAGAUUGCGCAAGGUGGGGAACCUGACGCAGCCAUGCCGCGUGACUGAAGAAGGCCUUGGGGUUGUAAAGUUCGUUCGCUAGCGAGGCGUUAACUACAGAAGAAGCACCUGCUAACUCCGUGCCAGCAGCCGCGGUAAUUC